GAUGAACGCUGGCGGCGUGCCUAAUACAUGCAAGUCGAGCGAACGGACGAGAAGCUUGCUUCUCUGAUGUUAGCGGCGGACGGGUGAGUAACACGUGGAUAACCUACCUAUAAGACUGGGAUAACUUCGGGAAACCGGAGCUAAUACCGGAUAAUAUUUUGAACCGCAUGGUUCAAAAGUGAAAGACGGUCUUGCUGUCACUUAUAGAUGGAUCCGCGCUGCAUUAGCUAGUUGGUAAGGUAACGGCUUACCAAGGCAACGAUGCAUAGCCGACCUGAGAGGGGGAGCGGCCACGCGGGGCCGAACAGCCGCCCCGGCCCCGUGGGGCGGCCAAGAGUGGGACAUCUGCCACAAGGGGGGAAGGCCGGACGAGGCCCCGCCGCGUGAGGGAGGAAGUUCCCGGGCUCGAAAACCUCUUUUUUGUGGGAAAAACAUUUGUUAAAGGACCUGGGCACAUUUUGGCGAAUCCUAAACAAAGACCCGCGUCACUCUCCG
rnacentral:rRNA from 1 species